rnacentral:rRNA from 1 species
GUAGCAAUACAAUGUUACGAGAGUGGCGGAAGGGCGAGUAAGGCAUGGGUAAUUUGCCCUUGAACUGGGGAUAACCUUGCGAAAGCGAGGUUAAUACCGAAUGUGGCCCCUGAACGCAUGUUCAGGAGGUUAAAGGUGGGGACCGCAAGGCCUGCCGUUCAAGGAUAAGCCCGUGUGCCAUCAGCUAGUUGGUGAGGUAACGGCUCACCAAGGCUUACGGCUAGCUGGUCUGAGAGGACGACCAGCCGCACUGGGACUGAGAUACUGCCCAGACUCCUACGGGAGGCUGCAGUCGAGGAUCAUUCGCAAUGGGCGAAAGCCUGACGAUGCGACGCUGCGUGGAGGAUGAAGGCCUUCGGGUCGUAAACUCCUGUCAUGAGGGAAAAAUGUGCCGGUGAUGAACAGUCAUCGGUCUGGAUGGUACCUCAAGAGGAAGCCACGGCUAACUCUGUGCCAGCAGCCGCGGUAAUACAGAGGUGGCAAGCGUUGUUCGGAUUUACUGGGCGUAAAGGGCGCGUAGGCGGUUCCGUGUGUCGAGUGUGAAAUCUUCGGGCUCAACCCGGAAAGUGCGCUUGAAACUGCGGAACUUGAGCACAGGAGGGGAGAGCGGAAUUCAACGUGUAGCGGUGAAAUGCGUUGAUAUCUUGAAGAACACCGGUGGCGACGCGGCUCUCUGGAAUGUUGCUGACGCUGAGCGCGAAAGUUGGGGGAGCAAACAGGAUUAGAUACCCUGGUAGUCCCAACUGUAAACGGUGUGCACUGAACGUUGGGGAGGUUUCACCCCCUUCCGUGUCG